GGCCGUUUUAUAGGAUUUGGGUAGGUAAAGGAAAAUUACAGUCAAAGGGGGUUUGUUCUCUGGCGGGCAGGGGCGGGGGUCGCAAGGUGCUCAGUGGGGGUGCUUUUUGAGCCAGGAUGAGCCAGGAAAAGGACUUUCACAAAGUAAUGUCAUCACUUAAGGCAAGGACCGGCCAUUUAUACACUUCUUUUGUGGUGGAAUGUCAUCAGUUAAGGUGCGGCAGGGCAUAUUCACUUCUUUUGUGAUUCUUCAGUUACUUCAGGCCAUCUGGGCAUAUACGUGCAAGUCACAGGGGAUGCGAUGGCUUGGCUUGCCUCAGAGGCCUGACAUUCCUGCCUUCUUAUAUUAAUAAGGAAAAUAAAACAAAAUAGUGUUGAAGUGUUGGCACGGCGAAAAUUUUUGGGGGGUGGUAUGGAGAGAGAGUGGGGCAGAGCAUAUUCACUUCUUUUGUAAUUCUUCAGUAACUUCAGGCC
rnacentral:lncRNA from 10 species